rnacentral:rRNA from 1 species
UACGUAGGCAGCAAGCGUUGUUCGGAGUUACUGGGCGUAAAGAGUAUGUAGGCGGUGUUCUAAGUUCGGUGUGAAAUCUCCCGGCUCAACUGGGAGGGUGCGCCGAAGACUGGGAUGCUGGAGUCUCGGAGAGGAACGCGGAAUUCCUGGUGUAGCGGUGAAAUGCGUAGAUAUCAGGAGGAACACCAGUGGUGUAGACGGCGUUCUGGACGAGUACUGACGCUGAGAUACGAGAGCGUGGGGAGCAAACAGG